rnacentral:lncRNA from 1 species
GUCCUAGGCCUUGGCAGGACGCUCCAGCAGCCCACAGGUGAAAGGGCUCUGGAAGAGAAGAAAAAUGCUCCCACCCCGUUAGACUGUCUGCAAGAUAUCAUCUCAGCACCCUGCACAGAAUGUCCACUGCCUCUCCCAUAGGCCCUGGGAGGAAAGAGCAAAAAGGGGUGGUCAUCCAGGCUGGACACCAGAGUCCCUGUUCUCAGCUGAGUCCCCCAAGACAUCACUGCCACCCAAAACAGAGGACCUCGCAGUGUGGCCACUCUGCCUGGAGGCCAAGGGGAGGAGAAGGAUCCUUGCUGGCUUUUUUGGCUCCCUGAUCUGGAGGCCUUUCCUCAUUCUCACUGUGAGGAAAGACUCCCCUACCAGCCGUGAGUUCCCCUAUUUUCCCAUCCACCUAGGUGGGCACUUCCGUUCAAAAGGGUUAAGCCAUCCAGGCGCAGUGGCACACGCCUGUAAUCCCAGCACUUUGGGAGGCCGAGGCGGGCAGAUCACCUGAGGUCAAGAGUUCCAGACCAGCCUGGCCAACAUGGUGAAACCCUGUCUCUGCUAAAAAUACAAAAAAAAAAAAAAAUUACCUGAGCGUGGUGGCAGACACCUGUAAUCCCAGCUACUCAUGAGGCUGAGGCAGGAGAAUCACUUGAACCCAGGAGUCAGAGGUUGCAGUGAGCCAAGAUCACUCCAUUGCACUCCAGCCUGGGCAACAAGAACAAAACUCCAACUAAAAAAGAAAAAAAACAGGAGCCACUGCUAACUGUUCCACAGACUCUUGAAAAGGUUAAACAGGUUAAUACAUGGAAAGGGCUUAGUUGGAAUGACUAACACAUAGCAAGCAAUAUAUGAACAUCACAUGAAUAAAAAAUGUGGCAACAGGUCCCAUUGUUCUUUUUGUUGAAUAUGUCUUCUACCUAUUUAUCAAAAUUCCAUUAAACUCGCCCAGUUGACACAUGUGCUCUCCUCCCACAUAAAACCCACAUGUCCCAGACUCUCUUGCAACUAGGUCUGGUCAUGUCACCAUGCCCCUGGAUCUGAGUGUUUUGUUCUUUGGGGUUUUUUGGGGGGGUUGGGGGAAGGGUCUUGCUCUGUCACCCAGGCUGGAGUGCAGUGGGGAUGAUCAUGGCUCACUGUAGCCUCUAAUUCCUGGGCUUAAGUGAUCCUCCUGACUCAGCCUCCCAGAUGGCUGGGAUUACAGGUGCACCACCCUGCCUGGCUAAUUUGGGGAGUUUUUGUGUUUUAUUUUUGUAGAUAUGGGGUCUCACUAUGUUGCCCAGUCUGGUCUUGAACUCCUGGCUUCCAGCAAUCCUCCUGCCUCCGCCUCCCAAAGUGCUGGGAUUACAGGUGUGAGCGACCAUGCCCAACCUGGAUCUGAGUGUUGUGUGGCAAUUUCUGGAACCUUACUGCAAAGAAGGCUGGGGCUGGCCUUUUGCACCCCUUCUGUACCCUAUCCUCCAAGCUGUUUCUGGAGUUGCCAUCUGCAACCACAGGAAUGAGGCCGCACCCUGGGGAUGAGAACAGUAAGCUGGAAGGAGCCUGUGCCCCGGACACUGCAGAGCCCCUCUCCAGCCCCGGGCUGCUCCAAAUGGGCUUCUACAUGACACAGAAAGAAACUUUCCUUUUGUUUAAGCCCCCAAGCAAAUACACUUUCCCAGUAGCCAUGAAGAUGAAAACAGUGGCCCCAGACUUGGGCACUCCAGCUGAGAAUGCCAGUCGGGAACCCACACACCAAAGGACGACUCUCUCACACCACAGGAGGUACUGCACAUGCCUUCUGAAUCCCGGAAGGACAAGCCUGGGCAUUGUAGGCAAGCAAUCCACCUCAACCCAUGGGCUUUGACUCUCACAGAUGAGAAAUGUAAGGACUCAUCCUCUGUGGCUCACUCCCUCAAAGAGUUUCUCACGUGGGCCUCUGCCUUUAGAAGUCGGGUUUUGGCUGGGCGCGGUGACUCAUGCCUGCAAUCCCAGCACUUUGGGAGGCUGAGAAUGGGAGGAUCGUUUCAGCCAGGAGUUCAAGACCAGCCUGCGCCACAUAAGGAGACCCCGUCUCCACAAAAAAUAAAAUAAAAAUAAAAAUAAAA